AAUGCCAUCUGGAUGUGGGGUGAGAAUGGAGUGGGGUGUGGAGAUGGGGGGGGCAGGUCGGAGAGGUUGGGGGAUGGGAGUACAGCUCCUCCCACGAAUGAGAAGACAGCUGGCACGGGAAAGCACACUGCUUUAGAGCCUGUAUUCAGCUGUGCAUGACGGUCCAGGUGAGACUGUGAACUUUUCAGCCAACGAAGAAAUAGAUUUGCUCAAGCAGCUUUGUGUCAGGAGUGUCUAGUACACUGGGCUGUCACUGAUCAAGCAUCGUCUUAGCUCAAGUUCACCUGAAAGCAGAGCUUGAGACACAGACAGGAGCAGGGGACUUACAUAGCAGCUAAAGGCUUGUUGCUGGGCUUAUGGCUACACUGGUGGAGUUUCUGCACCCCGCUGCGGAAUGCAAAGGUUUCCAGAACUGUCUGUGGAUAUCCACACAACACAAUGCUGCUCACUGGCUGGCGCCCUACCCUGCUUGGAGAGUUAAGCUGGGGGAUGACAUCUCAUUCCAACCCAGUGAUGCCACAGCAGGCAUCACUAAUCGAGCAUGACAUCCUCGCUCCCUAAGUCUCCUCAGCAAACUGAAGCAUCUUUUGUCAACAGGGUGGUCUGUGCAGAUGCGGCCCACACAGUUAGAGCAGGAAAGACCAAGGAGCUCUAUAAUAACUAUAGCUACUUCCUGAAUAUGACCUGCCAUCCCAUUUAUGGAACGCCUGCUGUAUGCCCCGCCCUGGUAUGAACAGAACACAAGGGCAAGCCACCUGAACAUAAGAGAAGAUGUGCUUGGGAGCUUCUGAGAACUCGGAACAGAAAUGGGAAACGGAAGGAAGACGUAAGCCAAGCCAAGAGGCCACAGUGUCCUGGGGACAGAGACACCAAGCAUGGGUUCAGGGGCUCUCCAUGACAUCACUGGCUCACUUGCACACGGCACUGGGUUCGAUGACUGCAUAAACCCGGUGUUCCGGUGACACCCAUGAUUUCCUUCCCCGGAAGGACGAUCAGAAGUUUGAGGCCAUCUUCAGCUACACAGAGUUCAAGGGCUACAAGAGAACCUGGGUCUUAAUCUGGAGAUGGCUCCAAGGAAACCCUUCUUCCUGUGACCCUGUGGGCAGACAAACCCAUUUAGCAGGUAGCAAGACCAGGUACGGGAGCUGCCUCUCUUGGGGCUGUGGAGAGUGGAAAGGCCACCUCUGGUCCCCAGGCCCGGGCAGCCCGUUCUGUUUUGCUGUUCUGAGCCUUCAAGGUCACUGAAGACACAGAGCCCACCCAGCAGCCAUGGUCCGGAGCUGGGCAGAUCACAAGGCUAACAGCCUGGGCAUUAUCUGACAUUUAGGUUUCACGCUCCCUGGGAAGUGCUAAUUACUCCAGCGGAAAGUCUGACUUCACUGCACUUGGGUUUUAUGGACUACUUUCAGGUCGACAUUUCCAUGUGACUUCCCGGAGACCACGGUGGCCCUGCCUCUUUCUGUGCUCCUUGGUGGCAGAGGCUCCGUGCCAGGAAAAUUGAGAUCUCCACUCACUCCCACGACAGGCCAGGCGCAAGCUAGGUCUGGGCUGCCGGGCUCCGACCAUGGCAGCUGUGAGGGCUGGUCCCAUGGUACCAGACUGCGGUUCUGAGAGGGGAAUGGUGGCGCUUGCUCCCAGGCUGAGGAACCGGAGCCUCCCCCAGUAAAGCAUAAUGUAGGGAACUUUGUCCUUGGUUCUGACAACCUGUGUCGCAGGUGGGGAAACUGAGGCAGUGAGCCGUGGGCGGAGAGGUUUGAGUGUGGCUGCUAUGAACUUGGAGUCUGGCUGAUAGCUAGUCUUUGAUAAACCCACCAUGUGUCCUCGGCCUCAUCGGAGCUUUGUCUGUCUGUCUGAUGAUGGCAGGAGCGAUGGGCGGCAUUUGCACAUGGUGAUGCCCCAGGGUCAUUGCAGACCCCUGUGUGUCCUCCCCCUUCCACCCAAUUCCAAUCGACCUAGAGUGACCAAGCCUUUCCCCCAAACAGCUCCGCUCCUAAGAUGCGGAAGACACAUGUGUCCUGAGUCCCCUCAGGCCAGGAGCUCUGCUUAGAUGGACAGCCAUCAACCAGGGAGAGGGCAGCUAAAGGAAUGACUUCUGGAGAAAAUGGGGCAUUCCCAGUCUGCCCAGAACUCACAUGGUAGAGAGCAACAAGGAGCUGUGUGACCAACUGUCCUGUACCCCACUUUAUAAAAGAGGGUCUAUGUUCAUGGAUGAUUGGAUUGUGAGCAAAAAACUGGUCAGUGCAAGGUUUGGGCUAGAGGCUGGAGCAGGGCAGCAGACAGAGCUGGUGUUAGGUCAGGCACCCUUGGGGAGUACCCUUAAAGGGGCCUGUAUCUAACACAGUCCUUGCUCCCCAGAAGCCUGUGGAGGUGUGAGGAUGAAGACAACCACUCCACAUGGAGUGUAAUCAUUGUUCCCAAAGAAGCAGCCAUGUCUGCCGGGCUCAGAUCUAGGUAUUUUGUUCAGUCUUAGUCAUUCUGGAGUUGGAUCUCAUAACCCCUGGUUCACUGGAGGCUCAGAGAUGUUAGGUCAUUUGCCUCAAGCCACACAGGAGCCAGCGGAUUAGAAUCCCAGCAAAUCCAGCCCAGCACUGGUUCAUUUCUUUCUUCUGUCCUGGGGGGGGGGGAGGGCGGGGGCGAGGGGGAUGUGUGGCAGGUGAGGACAGUGAGUCUUGCAAAGGGACAGGAUGUGGCCAGCUGGAACCUGUGCUCUGGAAUGCGGGGCCCCAGUGGGCAGCAGCCACCGCGGAGUCCACAGAGGCUUCUUAGUGGCCUGCUGUCCUGGGGUGGACUGAACAGAGCUUUUUUUCCUUUUUUUUUUUGUCUCUGGAGAAUAUGCCCCCUGGAGGCUUUGACUUCCGCCCCACUCCUGCUGUCCUGAAUUCCAGAGUCUUUCAGGUCCCGCCAGGCCCUGCAGACAGUGACAUUUUACACGGUUCCCCUUUGGUCAGCUCUGGGCAGUGAUAACAGGAUUAGGCUUCCAGGCAGAUCACUUAAUUAAACUUUGGAAAAGCG